rnacentral:rRNA from 1 species
AUAGCGUAUAUUAAAGUUGUUGCAGUUAAAAAGCUCGUCGUUGAAUUUCGGGGUUCAUACAUUGGUCGGGCUUUUUGGUCUGUACUUAUGUAAUGGAUUCCUACCUUCUGAAUAACCAGCAUGCCAUUAAUUUGGUGCGCCGGGGAAGCAGAACUGUUACCUUGAAAAAAUUAGAGUGCUUAAAGCAGGCUAUCGCCUGAAUACAUUAGCAUGGAAUAAUGAAAUAGGACGGCAUGGUUCUAUUUUGUUGGUUUCUAGGAUCACCGUAAUGAUUAAUAGGGAUAGUUGGGGGCAUUAGUAUUCAAUUGUCAGAGGUGAAAUUCUUGGAUUUAUUGAAGACUAACUUCUG